ACCUUCGUGGCGUAAUGGCCAACACACUCGACGCGUAUUCGAGAGGUCCGUGGUUCAAAUCCCGGAGAGGGCA
rnacentral:tRNA from 1 species